GUUUAAAUAGUUUAAAAUAAAAUAUUGAUUUGUGGUGUCAUUGAUGAGGAUUACCUCUUUAAACC
rnacentral:tRNA from 1 species